GUUUUAAAAAUAAAAUAACACUUUUUAGAGUUUUUGUGUUUAAAGUUAUGAGCAGAAUGACUCCCGUCCUUCUCUUGUCUCACCUUGCCUUACAGGGAGAGCACCUGCUCUGGAUCUGUGGGGGACAUUGGGGCAGAUGAAAUGCCAUACAACAACAUACAACGUGACAGUUGAUUAUCUUCCUUGGGCUGUGUUAAUGGACCCUGCCAGGCUCAGGUCUGGAUGCAGGCAUCUAGUUAAUAGAGUACCCGAAUGUCCGCGCACCUGUCAUCAAUCACCAUUAAAGCACGGGAAAAACACAGCUCUCGGCUACGUUUAGGAACACAAAUUCAGGAGUUGAGCUGAGCAGACUCGGGGAGUGCUUCGGAGGCAUCGGUGCUGGGCUUCAUAUGUCCCCUGAUUCAGAAUGCUGCUCCCCGACUCGUCUUCAACCUUCCCAAGUUCUCCCAAGUCACUCCUCUGCUGAGUUCACUCCACUGGCUACCGGUCGCUGCCAGGACCAGGUUCAAAGUCCAGAUCCUCGCCUACCCUGCAGCCAACAGGACGGCCCCCGGCUACUUACAGGACAUGAUUCAAUCCUACACGCCAGCUCGACCACUCCGCUCUGUGGAAACAGGGCCACUUGCACCCCUGCCAUUCGGAUGAAUCUGGGAUAAUUUUUAUCACUUAAAUUCCCCUCUUUUAUGCUACACAUGUACCUCCUGUGCCAAUUUCAUGUUACCUGUACUGCCAUCCAGCACUUAUACUGUACUUUGUAACAUUAUCUUAAUGUUGUAGCUUGUCAUGCCUCCUAGUUUUACUUAGCAGACGUUAGGUCAGAGUAAUGUUUAAUGUGUGAACUGGACUUAAUGUGUUCAUGGCUAUGAAUAACUGUUACAAAAUGAGUAUUGUGCCUUAUUGGAUCUGUGUUUUGUAGUUGUUCCAAUGACCUUCUUUAUGCACUUAUUGUACGUCACUUUGGAUAAAAACGUCUGCCGAAUAAUGCAAUGUAAUGGGUUUGCCUCCCUCUGCUGGAUAGAAAAUGGCAUUACAACAGAGGAAAUCCGAUUUGAAAAAUGUUGCAAUGUACAAGUCGAUUUUUCUGUGUGGUUAUCAAAUGUAUGUGGACUUUAAUGCUGCACACAAGUUGCCCUCUGGUGAUAAUAAAGAUC